AUUUCAUAGUGUGUCUAGCAUACACACUGUCUCCCCAGGAGCUUUACUAAGUUACAUUAUACAGUUACAGAGAAGCAGGGGGAAGAGAGGAAUCCAGAGGUACAGACAUGGGAGAAGAGCUGUAGGUAUUUAUUUGACUAGUGUUUCUGUGCAGCACCCCUGGAAGAAACAGAACUGCUCAGCGAUGAGCCAUUGCCUUUACUACUAACAUCUAACAGAGCGGGGAGGUAGGGGCUUGGGCCUGGAGCAGCAGGAUCUGCGUUCUAGCCCUGCUGCUCAGCAUGGCUGGAGUGUGCAAUGUAAUAACCAGUGCGAUCUUCCAAGGCGGACACAGGUUUGUUACCCGGUGAGAUCUGUAAAGUAAUGGAGACGGCUGAAGCAAUCAGCACAAAGGCCUCUGGGAGAGGAGAGAGGGAAGGAAAUGAAAAGGUAUUUCAGAUCAGGGCAGAUUAACGUGGGAUCCCUAGGAUCUGGCUCCACAUUCAGAGUGGGCAUCUGGGAGGCGCAGAGUAGCAGACAACAGCACAGCCAGUGGCUGUGGGCCUGCUGGAGUGGUCUGGGCUGCCCCUCUUGGGAGAAAGAUCCAAGACUGGACUGGAAAGGGCCAGGGGGAGUGUCUGGGAUGGGGGCAAAACAGAAAGACAUCAGCUCCUUCUAGUCUGGAUUGUGGUAUGGUGCAGAAAAGGGUUUCAGCAUCCCUUGAGUUUGCAUAAAAUGCAAGUCUGUGCUUCUGAGCUCCCACUCCAGUCUCCAACUACCAGCAGCCCUGAACGGACUGGGAUCUGGGGAAGGGGAAGUGGAGCACAUUUAAAGGCCAGUCUGUUAAAGAAUUCCUUUUCCCAGUUCCCAGAACUCUUUCCCAGUUCCUUUUUUAUCCCCGCAGCUGUCCGGUACAAAUGUCGCCCAGGACAGCUACCAAGACUAUGAUCGACUGGGGAGGGGAGUCAAAGAUUUUGCAUAGUGUAGAUUUAUAUUCCUGAGCUUCAACAUCAGCUAUUUUUUGCCCAAGCGAGAAGGCGCUCUCUGGAGACUCAUCAAAGCAUGUGUUUAAAUGAAUAAAGACUUUAUCAAAGCAUGUGUUUAAGUGAAUAAUAAAUGAUAUAAAGGGUUUUUAUUGAUCCAGCCCUGCUGCCUCAGAAGCAGCAGUGCCGAGGGACGGCUGCUGUAUUGGGACCACCCCCUCCUUCCACAAAUCAGGUAGCAAUCCCACCCAUUUUGUCCGGUCUCCAGGAGCCAUUCCAUGUUAGUUAUGACUUGAUUAUUACAGCAGUGUCUUCAGGUUAUUACUGUAAACACAGUCACUCUGCUGAAGAGCAGCAAAAGUUAGGGGUAGGGUGACCAGAUAGCAACUGUGAAAAAACAGGACAGGAGGUGGGGGUAAUCGGCGCCGAUAUAAGAAAAAGUCCCAAAAACCAGGACUGUCCCUUUAAAAAUGGGACAUCUGGUCACCCUAGUUAGGGGAAAGGAACCCAUCAUACAAGCAGAUGAGUGCUCUGCAGUCCCUUUGAUUAGGACAACAGCAAGUACAAACCUUUUUAUGGCUCAGGAUCUCCAGUACCUCCUUAGUCUUGUUGCAGGCACCUUCCCUUCCCUUUCUUUUCCUUCCCAUUUUAGGUCUUUCCAAAACCUGCCACAACCCAGGAGCAGGGAAAAAGCCCCUUGGUCACCCUCACCUUCCGUCCCUCGCUCCUUUCAUCAGCGAUUUCUCAAUGCUUAGGGGGAAUCUUAACUACUGAGUCCCCUUGGGGAAGGCUUCGAUUGACCGGGCACUGGGACCACCCUUCCGUCAGUAGUGGCACCUCCACAGGUGCUGUGGAACGGAGUGUGACCAAAGGCACCCCGUAUUCAUGCCCUACACAAUACUGUAAUCAUCUUUGUACAAAAUAUGCCUUGUGUGGCAUCAUUUGAAAAAUAGUAAUUUACUGGUCAAUCCUAUCAUGAUGAAAUGUGUGUAGCAACAUUAUAUAUAAAGUUAUGAAUUCCCUCUAACUGAUGUUGGUAGCUCAUGUUCAAACCCAUGUAGCCCUGAUUAGGCAGGACUGGUCAAGCAGGUCUUAAACAAAGGAGUGUGUGUUUACUUCAAUUUAUAUAUAAGUUGUAAACAGGGUCCUCAGACAGUGAGAGGCGGAAGACAGCGGACAAGGAAAAUCUGUAUUUCAGCAAACAGGUGAGAAGGAAUAGCAUACAUCCCUUUUCACUGCCUGAUGCCAUAUUGCCUUCUUUACUGUUUGAAUAAACUUUGUUUUGUAAUCUUCAGGAAAAUGCAUCUCAAAGGGGAACUGGACUAUACAAGUGAGGGGCAAAACCACCCCAAGUUCUCUCUCCCUAUCUUUCUCUUUCUUUUCGCCAAGCAAGACAAAAGAAACAGCUGUUGGACUUUGGGAGCAGAUCUUAACCUGAGAAUUUGGUCAGUGAUGUUACUGGAAACGUGUGUCACAGAAGAAUGCUGAUCUGCCCCUCACCACCGCCAUGGAUGUGUUUUAAAGCAAGUAAACCAGCAUCAUCACUCAUAGAAACAGCUUUGCAUUUCAAUGGCACUUUGCAUGUCAUUGAAUAUCCCAGAGUGCAUCUGCUAAUGUACACUCUGAUAUCCAUCAUCGCCAGUGGUGAGAGUGAGAAGGGUCUGUGUCUGCAGCAGGCUUCACACCCCAGUGCAAUCACCAAUCCUUCUCCAGCCAGAAGAGAGGAACCGUUUGCUUUGUUCCUCCACUGCACAGAGCUCUUCAAAGGCAGACCUGUAGCUGACAGCACAGGCUCGGUGCACAAGGAUGAACCAUUCCUAAGGGCUCCGGUUUCGUUGCAUAACGCUGCCAAGCCCACCAACCGAGCUCAGCAAACCGGCAUGUGCUGUGGGAUUUGGUCCUGAAGAUGCAACAAAGGGACAGUAGCAGCACAGAUGGAAAGAUGAACUGGAAACUGGAGUAUGAUCCUCUUAAUCCCAUACAGGGAUGCUUGGCCACAGGAAGGUGAAACCUGGAGGACACAAAGACCCUGGUGUUGCUGAGGAAAAAAAUGUCACAUGGACAACAGGGGAAUACAUGAAUUUAUGUCAUGACUCUUCCCCACAGUAUCCGAGCACCUUCCAUCCAAGACAUGAAGCGUGCCAUAAAUUAAUAAAUUUCGGCAGAGCAGGUGUUAUCUGCAUUUCACAGAUGGGUGAAACAGGGCAGAGAGAGGCAACACCACUGGUUUGCUCUUAUACAGCUAGUCAGAGGCAGACCUGGGAACAGAACAAGGAUUAUUAGAAAAUACUUUCAUUGCCAUCGCACCCAGAGGCCCCAGUCCACUUGGGGCCCCCAUGGUACUGUAUGCUGUAAACACACAAGAUGACACAAUCCAAAGCCUGUGCUUUUGCCGUGAGAACAUGUUCCUCCCCACCUCCACUCCCCAGAGUGCCUUGGAAAAGAGACCCUAGUUGUAUAGGGCAGAAAAGAUGAGUUAUCCCUUAUUCUUUAAAAAAAGUCACAGAAUCUUUACCUCCUACCAGAGGUGCUAAAUUAACAUCCCAUCUCAGCAGCUCAUCUAAAGAGCAGCACCCUCCACUGGCAGACGCCAUAAACUCAGUGUCCUUGUCAGUCUUGGGUAGGUGCCCAACUCCUAGAGUCAAUCAUGAAUACUUCUGGCUCUGAUGAAGGAGGCCCUCUUCAGGGCAGACCUGGCAUUACAAAUUCUGGCCCUUCCAUAGUGGUGAUUAAACGUUACUGCUCCAUAUAGAGGAUAAAGCCUCAUACCAAUAUUGAACCUAUAAAGUACAUAUCACAGUGAGACAGACUAUAUGCCUAUAUUCAUCCUUUUUACAAAUCCACGAUAAAUUUUGUACAAAGCAUGCCUUCUGAGGUAUCCUCUGAAAACUCCAUCUGCUGAACAUUAUUA